rnacentral:rRNA from 1 species
UACGUGAGGGGCGAGCGUUAUUCGGUGUUAUUUGGCGUAAAGAGUUCAUAGGCUGCUUCGUAAGACCCCCGUUCAAUCCCAGGGCUCAACCCUGGGGCCGCGAGGGUGACUGCGAGGCUAGGAGGUUUUAGGGGGAGGGGGAAUUCCCCGUUAGGCGGUAAAAUGCUCAGACGGGGAGGAAGGCCCAAGGCGAAGGCGCCCUCCUGGGGAACCUCGACGCUGCAGGAACGAAACCGUGGGGAGAGAAAGGG